rnacentral:lncRNA from 1 species
AUGAUACAUGCAUCACGUAUGCCAUGAGAUAUAUUAGGUUGUUGCAUUAGAAUUCACGAAUAUGUUGCAUUGCAUUAUUUGAUGUUGAUGUGGAUGGAUGUUGGAUGAUCCUUUAGUCCUCGUAUGAUAUGAUAUGAUGAUGAUACGGUAUGGAAGACUAGUGAGGCCCAUUCUACGCCCCUGGCACUAUGGUAAGAGAAAGA